rnacentral:tRNA from 1 species
UCGCUCGUAGCUCAGGGGUAGAGCACCUCACUUUUAAUGAGGGAGUCGCAGGUUCAAAUCCUGCCGGGCGAA